UACGGAGGAUGCGAGCGUUAUCCAGAUUUAUUGGGUUUAAGGGGUGCGUAGGCGGACUGUCAAGUCAGCGGUAAAAUUGAGAGGCUCAACCUCUUCCCGCCGUUGAAACUGGUGGUCUUGAGUGGAUGAGAAGUACGCGGAAUGCGUGGUGUAGCGGUGAAAUGCAUAGAUAUCACGCAGAACUCCGAUUGCGAAGGCAGCGUACCGGCAUCCAACUGACGCUGAGGCACGAAAGCGUGGGGAUCAAACAGG
rnacentral:rRNA from 1 species